AGCCGGCGGCACCAGGCGCCUUCAUCAUGGCGCCGGCGGCGGCUGGGGCGGCUGCAGCAGGCCAGAGAAAGUAGGCGCCCACGGCGCCCCCGAUGACCAUCGCCGCGGUCCCCACGGCACCGUCGCGCGUGGAGAGCUUUGCAGGCAGGUACGGUUUGGCCAACGAGAUGGUGGAGGCCAUGGCCGCUCCUGUAUGGUUCUUGACGUAGCCGAGACCGGUGACGAUGUCGCCUGUGCUCAUCUCGGUUAGCUUUGCGGGAAGGUACGGCUUGGCCAACGAGACUGUGGAGGCCAUGGCCGCUCCUGUAUGGUUCUUGACGUAGCCGAGACCCGCGACGAUGCCACCCGUGUUCAUCUCGGUUAGCUUUGAGGGGAGGUACGGCUUGGCCAGCGAGACGGUGGAGGCCACGGCGCUCGCCUGUUGCUUGACGAGGUCGAGACCGGAGAAGAGGAGGUCGCGGGUGCUCAUCUCGCCUGGUUUUCCUUUCCGAUUUGUGGUCGUUUGUGUGGACUUAUACCUCACUAAAUGGAUGAGACGACGCAAAGCGUGGAUUUAUAGCGACGAAGGUGAUCUAUACCUAGACAACGACGCGCGACGACCUUGACUACCAACAGUACUAUCGACAGCACUAACAUGUCACCAUAUGAAGAAGAAUCAAAAGAUUACAAAAGAGGCUAUAUAAAAAUCAUUCACCGCUGGUCCCUUUGUACCUACUCGGCUAAAGCACAGGAUGCCCAGGCGUGGUGCGGAAGGCAGUCACCUCGACCAACUCUACUUUCCAUGCCAUGAUAGACUGAUACACCCAUCUAAACAACCAAGUGUACGGAUUAUCUAUAAUUUAUUAAACCAACUCUACCGCACGACCCCAUUUCGUUCGUUCUUAGUUCGUUUAGAUUAAACGGACGAAUAGCUGAACCCGACGUGCAGUCCCAAAUGAACAAAUAUCUGAUUUUCGUCCAUUUUCAUUCUAUUCCGGGCCCAAACAUGCGUCGCGUUUGGAGUAAAACGGACAACGUGCGGACGGGCGGGACACGCGUCCUUGUCCUCCCCAUGGCCCGCCUGUCGGGACACUGGCACUUCAUUCAUUUCCAACGCCUCCAUCCGCCCUCCCCGCCCCACCUCGCCGUCGGAGCCGCCACUAUUUUUUCAGCCGCCUCCUCACUGCUCACCCCCCGGCCGUCCAUACCAAACCAAGUCUCGCCAUGGCCGCCACCACGCCCACGCUUUCGUAGGAAUUUUGGUCGUCUUUUGGAGAAGUUUUGGCCGUCGCCUUCGUAUCUGGUGCCAGAGGGGAUACGACCGCCGGGUGCUCUAUAGCGACCUGUAGCCGGCCGCCAAACGACCCUCCUGCAUCGAGGUGAUUUCCGCAGCCUAUUUGUCACCACGACCGCAAGGUUUCUAACACUUUGCCAACAAAGGUAUGGACAAUGGAGAUGAAUUUUUCUUCAACCACUUCUUUUGUUCAUCGGAUGAUGCGUCCUCGGAUGACGAAGAUCUUGUGGUGGUUGCACCGGUCGUUCACGACCACAUUGAAAGACAGCGGCCUCGCUACAGGCGGUCAGUCCUGGGCCGUGCUCCCAACCUGAACCACAUCAGAGAGAGAGAGGCGACGCCAUGCUCUAUGUCGAUUACUUUGAGAAUACCACACUCUUUGAACCGAAGAAAUUCCAUCGUUGUUUUCGUAUGGCAAGACAUAUGUACAGUCGUAUCCGAGAGAGAGUGAUUCGUCAUGACCCAUUCUUCGAGUGCAAAACGGAUGCCCUUGGCAAGCUUGGAUUCUUCUCUUAUUAGAAAUGCACCGCGGCCAUCCGCAUGCUUGCAUAAGGUAUUCCACGCGAUUUUGUGGAUGAGUACGUGCGCAUGAGUGAGUUCACAUGUCUGAUGUCAAUGUACAACUUCUGCAAUGCCGUGGUGGCAGUGUUUGGCCCUCAAUACUUGAGGCAGCCAAAUGCUGCUGAUACAAAAAGGCUGUUGGUAAUCAACGCCGAUAGAAGCUUUCCAGGCAUGCAUGGCAGCAAAGAUUGUAUGCACUAGGAGUGGAAGAACAGUCUAUUUGCUUGACAGGGCCAGUACAAGGGGCAUGUGAAAGCGUGCACUCUCAUAUUAGAAGUUGUGGCUUGACAAGAUCUUUGGAUAUGACAUUCUUUCUUCAGCAUGGCAGGUUCUCACAAUGAUAUCAACGUGCUGCAGCGUUCUCCAGUCUUCGCAAGGUUUGCACAAGGCCAUUCUCUACCUAGCAACUUUGAGGUCAAUAGCCACCACUACAACAAGGGAUACUACCUAGAUGCUGGUAUAUAUCCUAAGUGGUCAACUUUUGUGGAGACAAUCUCGAAACCCCAAUGUGAUAAGAGACAGAGAUUUUCCCAAAUGCAAGAGAGUGCUAGAAAGGAUGUGGAGCGUGCUUUUGGUGUGCUUCAAUCCCGAUGGGGUAUCGUUCGAAACCCUUCACUGAACAUGGAUGAAGGGAAGCAUUGGAGGUGAUGACUACUUGUGUGAUCAUGCACAACAUGAUCAUCAAGGACGAGCGUGAUAACAACAUCUUCGACCAAGGAUUUGAUUUUUGAGGUGAAAAUGUUGAGCCCCUGCAGCAAGAACCGGCCACAUUUGAACAGUUUACCCAAUUCCAUCGUGAAAUGCGUGAUUGCACACUCAUUUGGAGCUUUAAAAUGACUUCGUUCAGCACAUGUGGAAUCACAUUGGCAACCAAUAGAUGUAUUGGUUUAUUAUGUUUAUUCAAGACAAUUUCAAUUUGGUUGUAAAACCAUUUUAUUCGAGACAAUUUUGAUUGGGUUGUAAAACUAUUUUUAUUUGAAACAAUUAAAAUUUGGACGUGCAAACAUUGAUGAAUAUGAAUAUAUGGGCAUAUUGGUCGUGGCGGACAGGAUGCGACCAAAGGAUGCGUCCGCAUGUUGGGUGCACGGCCACCGCAUCCGAGGAAAGGCUGAGAGACGACCCCAUUGCCCUACCCAAAUGUCCGGGAAAAACGGAUGUCCGUUUGGGGUCGUGCGCUGAAGUUGGCCUUAGGAACAAGAGGUAGGCAGGAAUGAUCAAGCGUACAACACACAUAAGGGCAUCUCCAGCCGCGCCCCAAGAGGCCACUCAUGCCCCUUUUUAGACGCCGUCGUUACAAAAUCCCCCCCAGUCGGGCCCCCAGGACGUCGUUUUCCGCCAGAUGGUCCAUUUUUCGGGCCGGUGAACCCAGGCCGAACCCAGCACGCUGGGGGCACCUAGGUGCUUUGACAGAAGGAAAAGUUGUGUGUAGGACACUACUGUGAGGCGAGAAAUGCCUUUUCGCCGCUAGAUUCGCCCUCGUGCGCCACGGAACACCUCACCGCCAUGUCGAUCCCGACGCCGCCAACGUGCCCUCAGGUGCUGCCGCGCCGAUUGAAAAUGCCAUUUCCCUGCCAUUUUCGCGGUAGCCUCCAUCCUGCUCUCCCUGGGCGAGCUUUUCAAACCGCUCAGGCAGGGAUACCGGCGACUGCCCACCAACUACGCCAUUCAGGUGUUUGGUGAUUAGCCUGCUCGGUAAUGGACUCAAACGACGAUGACACGUUCAUGGCUCUGAUGGAGGAGAAAGCCGAGGACGACACCACCGACGAAGAGCACAUCAUGAUCCUCGCCGCGCUGGCCGGCCUAUUGCGAAUAAUGCCAAGCCGUGGAGUGGUGUCUCGGUGCCGGGGCGCCGCAAGAGCAAACAAAGACAUCACAUGGAGGUCUAUUACAUGCUCUACAUCGACUACUUCGCCGACAGUCCUAUGCAUGGCGAGAAAUUAUUUCCGCGCCAUUAUCGGAUGGACCCGAAGCUCUUCCUCAGGAUUGUGAAUGUCAUCUAUGAGUUCGACAUCUAUUUCAUUUGCAAGAAGGAUUGCACCAGUACGGUUGGAUUAUCCUCGUUCUUGAAGUACACCACGACUAUGAGGAUCCUUGUGUAUGGAUCUCCCGAUGAUAUACAGUAAUACUAAGGAGCAUGGUCGAGUCGACCACCUUUGAGUGUUUGUAGAAGUUUUGUAGGAUAGUGGUGGCAGUGUUUGGACCAUAAAAUUUGCAAUCACCCAAUGCUGAAGACACUGCUCGGAUCCUAGCGUAGAAUGCAGUAAGAGGAUUUCAUGGGAUGCUUGGAAGCAUCGACUGCAUGCAUUGGGCAUGAAAAAACUAUCCAUUAGCUUGGCAGGGGAUGUACGAAGGCACCAAAAGAGGUUGCAGAGUGGUACUUGAGGUAGUGGCCACAUAGGACCUAUGGAUUUGGCACUCCUUUGGUAUGCUAGGAACUCACAAUGACAUCAACAUACUUCAGUCCUCGAAUGUCUUUGCAAAUCUUGUUGAAGGUCAUGCUCGUUCGGUGAACUUCGAGGUCAAUGGGUGCCACUACAACAAGGGAUACUAUCUAGCAGAUGGUAUCUCCGGGAUUGUCCACAUUUGUGAAGAGUAUCUCAAACCUUGUGCGAGGAGGCAAGAAGUCACACUUUGUUAAGUGUCAGGAGGCUUGCAGGAAGGAUGUCCAGCGAGCAUUUGGUGUGCUCCAAUCUCGAUUUACUAUUGUCCAGUACCCCACUCUUACCUGUGAUACGUCUCCGUCGUAUAUAUAUUUUUUGAUUGUUCCAUGCCAAUAUUAUACAACUUUCACAUAUUUUUUGCAACAUUUUAUAUGAUGUAUUGGACUAACAUAUUGAUCCAGUGCCAAGUGUCAGUUCUUGUUUGUUGCAUAUUUUUUGUUUCGGAGAAUAUCCAUAUCAAACAAAGUGCAACGCGAUAAAAUUUUAAAGAGAAUUAUUUUGAACAUGGAAUCAACGUAAAUGGCGGCCCACGACCUCCACUAGACACCAGGGCGUGCUUGGUCCACCUGGCACAGGGUGGUGUCUACUGGGCACCCCUUAAGUUGGUUGGGGCUCUUCUUAGGGUACAAGAAAUAUAAUUUAUUGAUAAAAGUCCCUCCAAAAUUUCGGCACAACCGGAGUUACGGAUCUUCGAGAAUUUAUGAAACGGUGAAGGACCAUAAAACAGGAACAUGCAACAGAAGAGAACAUAGAGGGAGAUGCAAUCUCGGAGGGGCUCCUUCGCCUCCGCCGCCAUGGAGGCCGUGGACCAGAGGGGGAACUCUCCUCCCAUCUAAGUGGAGGCCAAGGAAGAAGAACAAGGAGGGAGGCUGUCCCCCCUCUCUCCCGGUGGCACCGGAGUGCCGUCGGGGCAAGGAGCGUGACGGAGAUUGACACGUCUCAAACGUACAGACUUUUACAAACACUUUUGCUAUUGUUUUGGCCUCAUUCAUGCAUGAUUUUAAUGAAACUAACCUGAACUGACGCUGUUUUCAGUAGAGCUGCCUAUAUGGUUUUCUUGUGUGCAGGAAAAUGGAUGUUUAGGCGCCCCGGAAAAUUCCAAUAAAAAAUAGAUAAAUCCACGAACCGGGAGGAACCCUGGGUCAGAAGAUGGGCGAGAGGGGGGCCACCAUGCCUCCAGGCGACCUUUGGGCGCGGCCUGCCCCCUGGCCGCGUUGGGAGGCCGCCUGGUGGGGUCCACCUCCUCUGAUGCCCUACUUUGUCUUCUAUUUUUUUCCUGAUGGAGAAAUCCCAGAAGAGAAGUCGUUUUGCAAGUUCUCGACGCGGAGCCGCCGCCACCCUCAGUUCUUUUUCGGGAGAGCUAAUCUAGAGGCUGCCUUGGCCUCCGGAGAGGGGAAAUCGUCGCCAUCAUCAUCACCAUCUUCACUCCAUCACCCUUCCAUGGAUUCCCCCAUCAUGUAUGAGUAAUUCCAUGUUGUAGGUGAAGUGGACGGCAGGAAUUGGAUGAGUUAGAUCAUGUAAUAGUUCGUCGGAUUGUUGGGGGCAUGUUGCCAAUCAUCUACCAUGGUGUUUAUCAUCUUUUCUACUACUUGUUACUCUUAAUGCUUGUCACUUCGGGACCGAGUGCCAUGAUUUCAGAUCUGAAUAUCUUAUGUUUUCAUGAAUAUAUUUGUGUUCUCGAUCCUAUCUAUGAGUAGUAUGCACCUAUUAUAGUCCGGAACAGGCAAUCCCAACGGUGACAUCUUGGGACAAAAAAAGGGAUAGACUAUGAUUUGAGGAUUCCAUGUAUCCAUUGAUUGUUAAUGCUUUGUUCCGGUGCUCUUUGACAGGAGCACCUUAAUCUCCAUAAGUUCCUUUUGGCCCCAUUGGUAGCGGGAUGAUAGGAAAAAACAUGUUGUGCAAGUUCUUAUUGCAAGCACGCACGACUACCUUGGGAUACAUGCCUAAUGAUUGAUAUUUUCCUAGAUGAUCAUUCCUUCUCUAUGUGCCUUGCCCCAUGUUAAAUACAUGAUAUCUCUCAUCCAUGACCAACCAACCAUCUCCGUAGCCUACAUGGUUUUAAUCCCGCUAGUCACUAGUUGCUCUACUUUAGCUGUUUUACUUUUGUUGCUUUGCCACCAUUAUCUCCGUUGCCACAAUCACUUUCAUAUCACCGUUACUACUAAUAUUUCGUUGCCAAGCAAGUAUCUUUCAGGUGCGGUUGAACUGACAACUCAACUAUUAAAGCUUAUAAAUAUUCUUUGGCUCCCCUUGUGUCGAAUCAAUAAAUUGGGUUAACUUACCCGCGAAGACUGUUGCGAUCCACUACACUUGUGGGUUAUUAAGACUAUUUUCUGGCAUCGUUGCGAGGGAGCAUAUAUUUAUUUACAAGUCUACUUGGAGUUAUUUUGCUUGCUGCGAUUUAUCCACUAUGGGUAAGAAAGGAGACCCCAAGGUUCCAAUCUUACCAUCUACUACACGAAAAGGUAAUGUUCUUAGCACCAGAGCCAUGCUUGAUUCACCUUCCGUUAUGAGUAAGUUUGCUUCACCACCACCACAUCCUGCUUCUACCUAGUUCGUCACUAUGCCUGAUACUUUUGAUGAUGCUUCUACUACUAUUGAUGAGACUGGUUUACUUGGUUAUUUUAUUGAGUCUCAGAUUGCUAAGGCUGCAAAGCAGUCUAGGGUUGAAAUUCCUGUUACAUUCUACCCCAUUGGUGUAUCCUUUGGUUACCCAGACUUGAGUGGUCUCAGGGAAAGAAUUCUUGAUGAUGAUUAUAUUGAACUUGAUGAUGAUUUAUGCAUGGAGCUUACAGAGUGUGCUAACUCUAACCCUGCUUCUGUUAAGAAGCUGCUUGAAAAGCAUUCUAUGAAGAAAAAUUUACUCCCAAUCCUAAAUUUGCUUAAUCUCCUAUUUGCAUUGAGGAUGCUGAUUUUAAUUUCUCUGACUAUCUUUCACGUAUAUCCACAGUUGAAGUUGACCCUUUUUAUGGCAGAGAAAAGGACGAUGCUAUUGCACACCUUACCAAAUUCACUGAGUUGGGUGGCUUAUCCACUAAGAGGACAAGAAGAGAAAUUAUCAUGUUACUAAGCUACUUCCUUUCUCAUUGAAGGAAGAUGCUAAAGCAUGGUAUGAUGCACUACCAUGUGGUUACAUUAAGAGUCCUCAAGAUUUAGCUCAAUCUUUUGUUGCUAAAUAUUUUCCUGCUCAUAAGCAACAUGCUUCUUUACAAAGAAUAUAUAACUUUACACAGUUGUAGGAUGAGCACC
rnacentral:lncRNA from 1 species